AUGCGAGGGGAUCCCGGGGCUAGUGCAGCCAUGGCCUGGAGCUCGCCCCUUCUCCUGCGCGGGGACGCUAGCUACCGCAGAGCCCAGCUACCAACGGAUCCCCACCGCCAGGCACGCCACCUCCUAUUGCAGUCCUCCCUCCCUGUUGCAGGCCAGGCGUCCCGGGCUUCAAGUGCGCCGGGGCACGCGAUGCGGUUUGGCGUGUGUGGCCGUGCAGGUGCAUCACCCCCCGCUCCCAACAACCACGAGCAGCAGCGCGUAUGGCAGUGGACACAACCGAGUGCCCUUCUCCUCUGCUCCCUUCCCCAGCCAACAUCCAUGGAGUUCCAUCAGUGUGGUCGUGCAGCACGCAGGCGUGGGUUUGCAAUGUGGUGCCCACUACGUGCAGCCCACGAGGAGGCGACUGGUACUAAAGAUGCUACAUCCAUGAUAGUGUUCUUCCCUCUACUUCUACGGACAAGCUGCAUAGAACUGCAGUCAUCCCGAGCCUGCCGCCGAGGAGCCGGCGAGCGUGCCCGCGGCGCCACCGCCUACCUGAACCUCGAACCGGGCGACUGCUACGGGGACAGCACCGCCGUCUCCUCCCUCGUGCAGGCAAGAAGAGGAUGA
rnacentral:rRNA from 1 species